UACGAAGGGGGCUAGCGUUGCUCGGAAUCACUGGGCGUAAAGCGCACGUAGGCGGAUUUGUAAGUCAGGGGUGAAAUCCCGGGGCUCAACCUCGGAACUGCCUUUGAUACUGCGAAUCUAGAGUCCGAUAGAGGUGGGUGGAAUUCCUAGUGUAGAGGUGAAAUUCGUAGAUAUUAGGAAGAACACCGGUGGCGAAGGCGGCCCACUGGAUCGGUACUGACGCUGAGGUGCGAAAGCGUGGGGAGCAAACAGG
rnacentral:rRNA from 1 species